rnacentral:rRNA from 1 species
GACGAACGCUGGCGGCGUGCCUAAUACAUGCAAGUCGAGCGAACAGGGAAGAAACUUGUUUCUUCCUUUGUUAGCGGCGGAUGGGUGAGUAACACGUGGGCAACCUGCCCUGCAGAUGGGGAUAACUCCGGGAAACCGGUGCUAAUACCGAAUGAUCAGUUUGUUCGCAUGAACAAACUCUAAAAGACGGCUUCGGCUGUCACUGCAGGAUGGGCCCGCGGCGCAUUAGCUAGUUGGUAAGGUAAUGGCUUACCAAGGCGACGAUGCGUAGCCGACCUGAGAGGGUGAUCGGCCACACUGGGACUGAGACACGGCCCAGACACCUACGGGUGGCUG